UCUAGUAGAGUCUAGAAAAGAAUGUAUAGAUUACUAUAGUCCUAGUAUUCUAGAUUAUUAGUCUAGAUCUAACUUAAAAUUUUCAAUAAAUAUUCUGGAUUUCUUCAGCUUGGUCCAUGUCAAUCCUAUCGUCUUUGCCUUAUGGUCUACCAUUCUUCUGUUUUCUUUGCUUUGAAAUCUAGAUUGACUAGAUCUACACAAUGUCAAUAUAAUUUCUAGAUCUAUAUAUCUAAGACUAAUUAGUAUGGGCUUAAUAUUACUGUAUUAUUUAGUUUAACUACAAUUUUUCAGGUCAGCAGCAUUACAGUAAGCACUGGUACAGCGUACCGGCACUUUUUUCAAUGCAGCGAAAAAGUUACUUUUGUAUUUUAAAGUUUAUUAUUUAUUUAUUAGUUGUUAAAAGGCAAUCCAUCACUGAGCUCCGGCACCUAUUUCUUUACAAAAAAGCACUGAUUACCUGUAUAUUCUUUAACAAUAAUGGUUUACUAUUCUCAGGAAUUAGUCAUUCAAAAGACGGUGAGGAAAAGAAUGGUCGACAAACCUUGUGUGGUGCCUUAACAGUCCAUCAGACUAAGGGAUAGAUAAAGGUAGAUCUUGAUUACACUGCCUGGUUUUGUGGUUUGCACGAGACGGUUGACACAAUGAUCUGAAGUUCAAACUGCCAUUUUCUACUGUCCGCUGCAAGAUCUUGGCUGGAAUGUAAAAGGAAUGUCCAAAAUAUUUAAAUGACAAACAGGAUGGGAACUGAUAAUGAGGAAUAUGCUGAAACAGACAUCUGGCAUAUUCCUAUAAUCAGUAUCAUGGCCUUUGUAUACAACAAAAUUGAUUGGAACUCCUAGACUAGAAAUAUAAUUCAAGAUUUAAAUAAGGCACUGGUCAUAGUUUUAGAAAGUGUGGCUAGCAUUCUGAAGGAAGACAGAGAGAUGGAAAGACAUCAAAGAAUGGGCAGGUCUGCCAAGAAAUGGUUUAUCCAGGGCUAAGUACAGAGAGGAAUAUAGAAGGGCUGUUGACAGAUCUUGUGUGGUGCCCCCAUGGUUCAACAGACUAAUUGAUUGAAAAUAAUACCAGGGUUAUGCUCCUUUGACCAUUGAGUUCCAGGAUGAAGAAUGAAAGACAGAGAGCAAUGUGAAGACAUGAAAGAAUGAGCAGGUCUGCCAUGAAAUGGUUUAUCCAGGGCUAAGUACAGAGAGGAAUAUAGAAGGGCUGUUGACAGAUCUUGUGUGGUGCCCCCAUGGUUCAACAGACUGAUUGAUAGGU